rnacentral:ncRNA from 1 species
CCAAUAUGCAGCUGCUUUGGUUCCUGCGAGGUGACUCGCAGGCUAAGAGGGAAGCCGGUGCGGUCAGACGACCAAUUCCGGCACUGCCCCCGCAACUGUAAGCGGCGAGUCUGGGUCCAUUCCACUGGUGCAAGGCAGCGCCGGGAAGGCGGACCUGAGACGUUGGAGCCGCAAGUCAGGAGACCUGCCAAGGCAUUAACGACGAC